UACGGCCAUAUUCCGUUGAAACAUCGGUUCCCGUACGAUCACCGACGUUAAGUAGCGUCGAGCUUGGUCAGUAUCUAGAUGGGUGACCGCUUGGGAAUACCAGGUGCUGUAAG